rnacentral:lncRNA from 1 species
ACAAUAGAGAAUCAAAAAUAAAACUUGAAAAGGUCUCUUUUAUUUUGCAUCUUUUUAUUAUUUCGUGCAUUUAUAUUUUUGUUUUUAUUAUUAUUUUUUUUAAAAACGAAAGGAAAAACAAAAAACACAAAAAAGGAGUCAAAUCUUAUUGUUUUUUUGUGUACGCUCUGCCGUAGGAAGUCGAGGUUUGUCGUUUCUGAUGAAAAAUGGCGUGAUUUUGGGCUCGAGGAGUCCAAAGACCGAAAAUGACCCUUUUUCAAUUUUCUGGCCACCAUAGACGACAGCGCCGUCACCAGCGACAGGCGACCAUCAUGGUGGCCAACUACCGGAGCCAUGGCCGGAGUUAGGAAAGGGGGAGAGAGUUGUGAGCCUUUUUUCUGUUUUUUUUUUAAAAGAAUGAAGAAAAUGAAUUUUUUAAAAAAAUUGGCUUUUAUAGACUCUUGAAACGACGCCGUUUUGGGCCAAAACGACGCCGUUUUGAUCCUUACCCGCGCACUGACCUAACCUGUCUAGAAGAUCCACGUGUUUUUGAUUAAUGGGCUAUUUUCCAGUUUAGUCCUUUUGCCUUUUAUCCGCUUGCAAUCAAGUCUUUUUUAAUUUUUAAUUUUGGCCCUGUAAUUUAUUUCGGUUUUCGAUUGAGCCUGUCUUGAAGCUGCGCGUUUUGGAGGGGGAUUAUUUCCCGUUUUGGUCCCUCCUUGUUAUUCGCGCAUUCAAUCUUGUCCUUUUCUUUUAUUUUAUUUUCAGAUUCGCCCCAAAAUUUCUGUUUUAAGUUCAAAUUAGUCUCUCUCUUUUUUGCUAUUUUAGC